GGCGAACGCUGGCGGCGUGCCUAAUACAUGCAAGUUGAGCGCUGAAGGUUGGUACUUGUACCAACUGGAUGAGCAGCGAACGGGUGAGUAACGCGUGGGGAAUCUGCCUUUGAGCGGGGGACAACAUUUGGAAACGAAUGCUAAUACCGCAUAAAAACUUUAAACACAAGUUUUAAGUUUGAAAGAUGCAAUUGCAUCGCUCAAAGAUGAUCCCGCGUUGUAUUAGCUAGUUGGUGAGGUAAAGGCUCACCAAGGCGAUGAUACAUAGCCGACCUGAGAGGGUGAUCGGCCACAUUGGGACUGAGACACGGCCCAAACUCCUACGGGAGGCAGCAGUAGGGAAUCUUCGGCAAUGGACGAAAGUCUGACCGAGCAACGCCGCGUGAGUGAAGAAGGUUUUCGGAUCGUAAAACUCUGUUGGUAGAGAAGAACGUUGGUGAGAGUGGAAAGCUCAUCAAGUGACGGUAACUACCCAGAAAGGGACGGCUAACUACGUG
rnacentral:rRNA from 1 species